rnacentral:rRNA from 1 species
AAUAAACGUUGGCGGCGUGCUUAACACAUGUAAGUCGAGCGAGAAAGGUCUUCGGACUGAGUACAGCGGCAAACGGGUGAGUAACACGUGGGAAUCUACCUUUUAGUGAAGAAUACCCUCGAGAAAUCGAGGUUAAUACUGCAUACGUCUCGAAAGAGAGAAAGAUGGCCUCUUUGCUGUCGCUGAAAGAUGAGCCUGCGUACUAUUAGCUAGUUGGUAGGGUAAAGGCCUACCAAGGCUAUGAUGGUUAGCCGGCCUGAGAGGGUGUACGGCCACACUGGAACUUAGACACGGUCCAGACUCCUACGGGAGGCAGCAGUGAGGAAUAUUGCGCAAUGGGCGAAAGCCUGACGCAGCGACGCCGCGUGGAGGAUGAAGGUCUUAGGAUUGUAAACUUCUGUUAAGCGGGAAGAAAGACGAAGUGUUAAUACCACUUUAUGAUGACGGUACCGCUAAAGAAGACACCGGCUAACUUCGUGCCAGCAGCCGCGGUAAU